UAAGUCAACCACGAAUAGGCUAUCCCAACUAACGGCGGGAAAGACUCCACGGAGGGUGUAAGACCCGUGUGGGCGCGUGUCAAAGCUGUGCGGGCUCGGCCUUUUUUCCCUGAGAGUCGCGUUGCUUGAGCAUGCAGCGCUAAGCAGGUCGUAAACUCGAUCUAAGGCUAAAUAUCUCCACAGAACCGAUAGCGAACAAGUACCGUGAGGGAAAGUUGAAAAGCACUCUGGAGAGAGAGUCAAAAGACCGUGAAACCGCUCAGAGUAUAAGCCCAUGGCAGCUUGGAAGGCAUAUCGAAAGCGGGGCAUCGGUCUCCCUUCGCCGGGAGUCGGUGUUACCUUGCUUCUGUUGUGGCUCGUCAAGGUAGGGGGGUCAGGUCCACAUCCCGCCAUCGUGUGGGGGGUUCUUGGGUGUGUUGUGGUUUGUCGGUUGGCUUCGGCUUUCAGGCGGGCUCUUCGUGCUCGGUUCCUCUUUAGACACGGACGUUCAGACUCAGAUGCAAGACGCGAUAAACAGCCCACCACGGCACGUUGUGAGGUCACCCACAGGCUCGACUUUCGAUUGUGAGCCUUGACGCCGAGCAAGCACAAUGCGUGUCGCAGAGGUUCCUAACCAGGCAACAGAGCCAGGAUCGUGGAACGACACGCGCUCAACAGUCAGGCUCGGGCGGAGACAGAGUUCUGGUACGAUCCUCUUGCGACGAGCCGGCUUCUGGCCAACAUCCGAUGCUCAGGUCUUCCGCAUGUGCCGCGGGAGAUCGUCUUGACGGUCUGGA
rnacentral:rRNA from 1 species